CAUGUUGGUGGGCUCCCGGCUUUGUGCAGCGAACCCCAUACAAGCGUGCCUCUUCAAUUAUUUCUAAGAAUGACACUACUAUUUUUUGGGUUAUGAUGCGAUUUAUGUGUUGCUUACCUUGUAAAACGGUAUUGGUUGGUUAAAAGAAUAUAAUUGUCUCUCAUUCGCCAUGUGUGGAUGCAAGACAACCAUGUUGUAUGACUCUUGAUAGCAAUCAAAUAAAUUAUUUUUGGCGGUUGUGUGUCAUGGGUCUUACAUGCAUGUCGGGAUAUAGUAUAUACUAAUGUUGCUAGGUUUAUUGCUUAGUCAUUAGCAUUUGUCGCUAGACACGAUUAACCACCAUGCACGUGUUUGUUUUAUGUAUUUGAGCGCAACUCGAUUGAAUUCAAAUGCGUGUAGUAGGUGUGUUGAAGGAAUGCU
rnacentral:misc_RNA from 1 species